AUGAGAACAUUACCAAGCAUGGGGGCCGUUUCAAGGAGUAUUGUCACCAAUAUCCGCAUACCUACACAAAUGAGCAAGAAAAUGGUAGCUUACGUGAAUAAUAGUUCGACUUUCUCUGAAAACUUUAAUUUGUUUUGUAAUUCUGGACUAAAACCCUUCUCCUUGGAUCCAGCAGGAAUUCCGUUUCCCUGGAACCCUUGGUGUGCGGGCUUGCUGGUGUGCUGUGUUUUUUGUGAAGUAUGCGCUUGAGUCCAUCCCACUUCGUGACAUAUGGUUAUUUCAUUUUACUGGAGAGGGACAGAAAAUCAACCAAACAUCCUGAAGAAAUAAAUCCGAAAAACUAGAACAGCCAACCAAAGAUGAUGAAGAUGAAGAUGCAUAAUUUCUUCUGCACAGUGAUAAGCAUUGGACUAAAACAUAAGCAGGUCUCUAGUAAACACUGCUAGUCUCUUCUUCUGACGCUCAGCUCAUUAUAACAACCUCUCGGGUGAAGCUCUCCUCUUCCACCUCUACACAAGGCUGGUACAUGCCGUCAUUCACGCAGCUGAGCAGGACCACCAGUAUGGACAAAUAAUCCAACCAUGUAGAAGAAGAAGAGGUUAAGGUCUAAACACAUUCAAAAAAAUUCAUCAACAACAGAUGAAGCUUUCAUACUAAAAGUAUUUUACGUGGACAUAUUGAAUGGUAUACAAGAG
ensembl:lncRNA